UACGUAGGGUGCGAGCGUUAAUCGGAAUUACUGGGCGUAAAGCGUGCGCAGGCGGUUAUGUAAGACAGGGGUGAAAUCCCCGGGCUUAACCUGGGAACUGCAUUUGUGACUGCAUAGCUAGAGUACGGUAGAGGGGGAUGGAAUUCCGCGUGUAGCAGUGAAAUGCGUAGAUAUGCGGAGGAACACCGAUGGCGAAGGCAAUCCCCUGGAAAACUCCUGACACUGAGGCACGAAAGCUAGGGGAGCAAACAGG
rnacentral:rRNA from 1 species